rnacentral:rRNA from 1 species
CAGCAGCCGCGGGAAUACGAAGGGUGCAAGCGUUAAUCGGAAUUACUGGGCGUAAAGCGUGCGUAGGCGGUGAGUUAAGUCUGCUGUGAAAUCCCCGGGCUCAACCUGGGAAUGGCAGUGGAUACUGGCUCGCUAGAGUGUGUCAGAGGAUGGUGGAAUUCCCGGUGUAGCGGUGAAAUUCGUAGAUAUUCGCAGGAACACCAGUGGCGAAGGCGGCUAACUGGUCCAUAACUGACGCUGAGGUGCGAAAGCGUGGGGAGCAAACAGGAUUAGAUACCCCGGAGUCCCUGUCUCUUAUACA